UUGUCUCAAAUCCUUCUUAUCUUGUUGUUUGUAAAGAUACACCACUUUUACUAAACAUCCUAUUUCUAACUUUGUCUCUUAUGAUCACUUGUCCAUCUCUUUUAGAGCCUUCUCUGCCUUUUUCUCGUCUAUUACUCUUUCUAAGUCUUAAAGUGAGUCUCUUUCUCAUCUACUGGAAGACGGUAAUGGGAGAGGAAAUGUACUCUUUAUAGUGGAAUCACAUAUGAGAACAUGUACACAAGUUAGUUGAUAUUCUAAUUGUUGGGUGUUGUUGGGUCUUUACCAUAAAAGUUUCUAUAGCAUAUUUUCAUAUAAAAUCUCUUCUCAAACCCUUCAAAUCAUAUUGAUUCAUAUUGGACAAAAAUAAUAAUAAUAAUAACAAUUGAAUUCUAAAUUUUUUGCUACUUGAAAAAUCGUAAAUAAUUAGAUUGCAUAAAAUUUUCUCUACAUAAUUAAAUAAGUAAAUAAAUAAAAAAUAAAUAAACAAAUAUAUAAAAUUUUACAUUAAAAAAAGGUGAGUGUGGCGUAGAAGAGCAUUACUAGAAUUUUAAAUUUAAAUGUGAAAAAAAUAAAAAAAUAAAAAGUGAUUCCAUGGGAGGCUAGAAAAGUGGCCUAUUUCAAAUUGAUAUAUGGAAGAAAAAAAAAGGAAGGCAAAGAAGAGGAAUGAAGAGUUGAGAAGAGUGGACUGUUUCAAACUGAAAUAGAUAAAUAAAAAUAAAAUAAAACCUAGUGCAAAAGGCAAAAAGAGGAGUGGAGAGUUGAGUUGGUGGGGUGGUCUCUCAAAUUAAAAAAAAAAAAAAUAAGAUGAAGUGCAUAGAGAAAUUGAGCAAGAUUUUUGUGGCAUGGGAAAGAGAGAAAGGGAGAAUAAGAGAAGUGGAAGAGAUGGAGAUGGAGAGAGGAUAAAACAGAAGAGGAAUUGUCAGUGUGAGGGUGGGACACCAAUGAUGCCUUAGAUGAGAGGUAGUAGAUAUUGAGAGAGCACCACUCUGAGAAACACUAAGUUAGGUUGUUCCUCCCUCAAAUCCAAUUCUAUUAUAUUUUUAUUUAUUUAUUUUCUUUUUGGUCACUUGCAUCUUUUUCACCUAUGGCUAGUAAAAAAAUUGUAAUAAUAAUUAUAUGUAUUGCUGCAAAUCUAGACUGGUUCCUCAUCAACUUGAUGUCAAGAACGUCUUCCACUCUUCCUUCAUAGCAACUUCAAUGACAUAGUGUUCACUGUUCAACCAUGUAGGUUUGAAUCAAAGCUAAUUAAUCAAUAUGUUUCAGAAGGACUGAUCAUCAUGGUAGUUUAGUCUUGAUAGUAUAUGUAGAGGGUAUUGAGACUUUGAUUCAUGACCACAUACCAGCUUUCACACUAAAGAUGUUGGUAAGCUUUGUUAGUUUCUAGGUAUUGAAGUUGCAUGAUCAAAUAAAGGUAUUUGUCUCUCAAAGGAAAUACAUUUUUUAUAAAAUAUCUUUAUAACAAUAACAGGUACAAAUAUUAAAUCGGUUGGGACUGAGACUGGCAGUGAAAAGAAAAAGGAGUGAUGGCAGAGGAUAGUUCACCCAAAAGGGAGAUGAGAUGAACUAUCGAUUCUCCGAUAAAUGUCAAUGACUUAAUAUGUUUCCAGGGUCUUUACUUGAUCCAGGAUGUGUGAUGUAUAUGCCAUUCUGAAGUGAUCUAUUAAUCUGCUAAUAAUUUGUUUCAUGGCAAUUCCAUCUUGGCACUAAACUUGUUGUUAUGCCUAUGAUAACAAAUUAAAAAUUGAUAAAUGAUGGUGAGUUAGCAGAUGAUCUUGGAUCGUAUAGGACAUCGGUCGAAAAGCUGGUUUACUUGACCAUCACUCAGCCAGUCUCACAACCAAUUUUGGGUUUCUCACUUGAAUGCAAUGAUAUGAAUUUUGAAACAUCUCAAGGGAACUCUUGUUCAUGGUCUUCUUUAUCAAUCCUUAGAACAUUUCUUAUUGAAGGAUAUUCUAAUUCUGAUUGGGCAGGAUAUAUAUAUAUAUGAGGUAAUCUCAUAACCCAGAGAAGCAAGAAACAAUCCAUUGGUGCUUGUUCUAGUGCAUAGGUAGGGUAUCGGGCAAUGAAAAAUACAGUACGUGAUUUGACUUGGUUGAAAAGCUUUUUGCAAGAAAAUGGCAUACCAGUACCUGAUACAUCUUUCUACUAUGACAAUCAAGCAAUCAUUUAUAUUGCUAGCAAUUCUAUUUUUCAUGAAAAAGCAAAGCACAUGGAAGUAGAUUUUCACUUUGUUUGCUCAAAAGUGGACCCAAAGGAAAUUAUUACUCCAUUUGCAUCAUCGAAGAACCAACCUACUAACAUAUUUGCCAAUGCUCUUCUAAAAUAAGUUAUUGACUCUAUUUGUAACAUGGUAGGAGAUUUAAGGGGGAGUGUCUUACUACAUGUCUCGUGCUGCAUGCAUUGCAGCCAUUUUCAUUUAAAAGAAAAUGUAUUUAGGGGGAACAUAUUGACAUUCAUUAUUGCUAUUUGUAAUGGAUUUAUAUGCCCUUUCUUUCUUUUCAUGCUAAUUUGUGAUGGAUUUGGAGGUUUACAAAACUCUCUUGAAUGUUUAUUUUUAGCUGCAUGGAUGUUUCUCUAAUGAGAAGAUGCUCUUAGGUUUACAUGCCUUCUGCUUUGUCCUCUUCUAUUGGAUUCACUUUUUCAUUGAGUCUUCCUCUUACCAUUUUAUGGAAUUUGUAAUGUCUCAUUCAAACAGUUAAUAUCAUCUGUAUCAUCACUGGUCUAUAACCAUCCUCUCAUUAGUGCCCGAAGAACAUUGAAGAGAUCUAAGUUACAUGAGAGCAUUUGAAGAGCGUUUUAUGCUAUUUAUGGCACUGAAUUUUUUGAAUUCUAUUAACUUCAUGCAGGGCUGAUGUUGCUGUGGCUAUCUUGUGGGCCUUAUUCUUUAGUGUGCUUCUUGUAUCAUCCUGUAUGACCUUUUACUUCAGAUAUUUCCAUCUUUCUUCCAUCACCGUCUGCCUUGUUAUUCUUCUUCUUAUUCGACUAAGAGCUUCUAAGAAGGCAUUUGCAAGGAAGAAAGAAAGAAGAUUGUUGUUACCUUUGUCCAUGUGAACAUCUAUAGCCAGUGGUGUAAAGGUAGCACAAUAGCUUGGUCAAUUUGUUCUGUUGCUCACUUCUAAGUUCUGAUACAUGUGGAUUUUAUUUAAACUUUAUAUGCUUGGAGUACUGAUCUUGAUCAACAAGAAUUCUCACCAUCCUCCUGAAAUAGAUGGUAUGGUCCCUAUUCCUCCCUCAUAGCCAUACACGAUAGCCAUGAGAAUUUUCUGGACAAUCUCUUUUAUGUGUAAAUAGGUCACAGUUGAAUGAGGUUAGAGGUUUGCUAAUUCAUAAAUUUCCCAUUGGCUUGUACAUUUUAUUCAGUCCAAGGAAUUGUAUAUUGAAGUAUGCUUUAGAUUAAGUUAGUAGAUGCUUGUCAUUUCAGUAUUGAGACAGAACAGGCAGUACUGGCCAGCAAAUUAAAGACAAAAAUCUAAAGACUUCAUAACAAAGAAAAAAACAAAAUUAAAACAAGUUAAACCUGUAGAAUCAUACUGCUAAAUAGGCAGAAUUUGACUGGUAAGGUAGGUUUCUGAUGCCUUUUUUGGUUUUUUUCCAUUUUUUGGGGUUCACUUUUUUCUGUUCUGGGACAUUGAUUGUAGUGUCUCACCCAUACAAACUCAGCAUGUUUUCUAGGGAAGUUAUUAUCUUAAGCUCAUUGUGAAAUAAUACACUUAAGGUAUCUUAAUUAGAAGAGAAUUACUCAUGGACCUUAACGGUCUAGUUAGUUUGACAAGUAAUCUCUUACUUCAAUAUCAAUGAGUAUCCACUACUCAUUGUACAUGUUCCAUAUAAGCAUGUAAACAGCAAAUGAGAAAUCUUUAAAAGAUAACACCAUAGCCAUUUUAGUAUAUAAACUGUUCAAUAGUUUAAGUGUAUGUGCUGGCUUUAAAUCUGCCUAUUUGUCGGGAAACAAUUUAAUUGUAGGGAGAAUCUCACUUACAGACUAGAUGGAUGCAUGCAUGAGGCUUGCUCAAGCAGCUACCCAGUUGCAAGGAUUUUGGAGUGAAAUUAUAACUCAUGAGACAGUUUAGAAAGACUCUUCAAUUGUGUAAGGAUUCUAAGGAUAAUAUGGAAGAGAGAGAGAGAGAGAACGGGUAUUCAAACUGCAAUAAAAAGUAGGAGGAUUGCAUCCCUUCUAUAGUAUAUAGAUAUCAUAAUUCUAGAUGUUCUUUAUUCACUCCUGAAAAGUAGGAGUAAAAUAUAAAACUAUAGACACUCUGGAUUGGCUUCAUUUGAUUUUAAUAGGCUCAAAAAUCUGAAAUUGUUAACCUUUUGUGCUACAUUUGGAAUUUUCUUGCUCACUGAUCUCUUCUAAGCCAGAGUUGUGAUACAAACCUGUUUUGUUGUUUAAUAAAUGGGAUAGGCUACGGCAAAUAUGAUGAUGACACCUUUUUGCAUGCAGUAUUUCUUGAAAUCAAUAUUUAUCUUGUGAUUAUUGAUUGAGUUUAAGGCUAAGAAAUUAUUUGUUUCAAAUUAUUUUGCCUUUCUUUUAUUUUUUAAAAACAAAGGACACAUUCUUUUUCCUUGUUUGUUUAAAAGACAAAGAACUAGAUAGAAUUUAUAGAUAUUGUCAAGUUCAACAAGUGCAGUGUCAUUGCAUUCAUUGCCUGUUUAAGCUGUUUGCAUUCUAUAAGCACCUUUUCUGUAGUGGUCCCCCCCUGGGACCAUUUGGCUGUGUUCCCCUCAGAGAUAGCUCAAGGUACUAUCAUCAGCAGGAGACGAUAAAAAUAACAAAAUAAAAUAAAAACUGAGGGUAAUGGGUGGCAUACAGGAGACAUGAUUGCUUUUAUUUAAUGAGUACCGGGCCCUUCAAAACAUGCCUUCAAAGGAAUGCGGGGGGGCUUCCCAUCUUUUUGUUGGACCAUAGAUGAGUAUAGUGCAUAAACGAUACCCAUAAAUGAUUGCUGUAUUACACUGUUUUUAUAGUGCAAAGCAUAUGUUGGUUAGUUAGAUACGAGAUUGAGUAGAUAGUAUGGAUGAUUCCAUGUUGCUUUUCCUAGCCAUGUCUUUUACAAAAGGAUAUGGUUUCCAACUCUUCUCUCCUUUUCAAAUCUUCAAAGUGAUUGCAUAGAUUUCAAAUUAAAUUGGAGGCAACUAAGGUUGUGUAAAAAAUGCAGUUACUAUCAGUGACUAGAUCAGUUUAAAUAUGUGGUAUGCCAUUUGGCUCAUCAGCUGUUUAUGAUCCAUUCAGCCUCUACGUACUGGCGUGGUGCAUUAUAAUGUUAUUUUAAAGGUGGUGGCAUUAGGAAACACCUUUUUGAAAUGUGCCAGUGGCGUGAAGCUCAGUUUGACAUUAAGCAGUCAAGACAUGGGUCAAAAUUUUCUUCUAGAUAUGUUAUUAUGUGCAGUGGAAUGCUUUGGGAAUAUGUGAAAUGCCUUAAUAUUUUACUUUUAGCUUCCAGUGCUAAUUCAAAAGAAUUUCAAUAUCAGAUUUGUUUAUUGGUAUAAAUGUGGACGUAACCAUUAGAAUAAUUUCAUUAAGAAGAGUGAGCUUGGAAGCAACUUCAAAAAAUAGUGGGUUACGAUUGAACUUUUCAUAUUGAAUUUUCAUAGCUUCUGUGCAGGUACCAACUUCCUCUUCCCUGGUUAGUGUAAAGAUGUUAUCUGAAAUGAAAAGGCAGUAUUCAAAUGAAGUUACAGUUGUGUCCUGACUGAGCUUUGAAAAACAUACCAGAGAAGUUGUAUCAAGUUAAUCUGUUGCCCUUUGAGAAGUCAUUCUUCCCGUAAGGUUUGUUUCCAAACACACCAAAAGAACUGUUUCUUUCAAUGAAGCUAUGAAUUCAAUUUUGGUAGGAAAUGUACUCCAUCAAGCCUUUUCUAUUAUGAUACUUGCCUGCUAGGGGUCUGUAGCCAAUUAGCUUUAUAUUGAUCAAGAUUAUACACCUUUUAUCCAAAAGGAAAAGGAAAAGGAAAAGUGAUUCUUGUAGGUUCCAAAGGGAACAUCUUAUGUAAUGCCUGGUGCUCUAUACACGGAAGCCACCUUCUUUCCUUUUCUCUCUCAUCGAGUUUUUGAUGUGAUAGAAGAUUUAUCCGAAGAUGAUGCUUUAAUAGCAAUUCAGCUCUUUAAUCCAGUCCAUCGACUCUAAAACACUUGGGUUUAGUUGUCACAUGAUUAAUAGGCACCUUUUUGUUGAUAAGACAAGGCAAAUGCUCAGUUACAAUUGUUCAAAAGGCCGAAAUUCUCGGCCAAUGAAUACUCUACCACUAAGUUUAAAUUAAGUUUAUUUCUUUUCUCUCUUUUGGGUUACAUUAGCCUAAUGCCAUCAUGGGGAGCCUUAGUGUUGAACUAAUACCGAUUAAAAGUAUUAUUAGGAACUGACCCUGAUGUUGGCUUCUCGCACUCUUUUAACUCUUUGAUGGGGGACCGCAGGCUCAAUGCCUCAUAGCCGAAAGUAAAAGUCAGUGAACCUAAUAAGUUUUUCCCAUCCCAAGCUAAAAGGCUAGGUUCAUCUCAUUUUCAUGCUGAAAACCUUCUGUUCCUGAGAAGUACUAAAGGCACAAAGUUACAAGUAUGAGUGGGGGGCACAAGUUCCAUUUAUAUAAGUCCUAGGGGGGCUGGCCAUUCUCGUGCCUUUACUUUUUGACCAGCUGCUUCACUUAACUUUUGUAGGCCUAUGUUGCCUGGAUGAUUAGUUGGGAAAGGGAUCCAUUCGGUAUCUCAGAUGCUUCUUCCCCCAAUAGCUUCUUAAGACUGAUGGUUGAUCCAUUUCACUGUCCUAUUAGUUUGACCUUGACCUGAGCCCGAUCGAUCUGAUUAUUGGAAUCCAUAACCAGCCAUGCCACUUAUCAAAAAGAAAAGGAAGAAGAAAAUGAAAUUUCCCUUGGCUUGGCUGUUAUGGCAUGACAAGACACCAAAAUAUGUAAUUUUGCGUAAAUAUGAUCAUCCAAAAGAGGGCCACCAAAUAAUCCAGGCAGUGUGGUCAAAGUUUGGAUGGUAUGAUUUGGCCUGGAAAUGUCUUGGUAUUGAUUGAGGCCACGUUUUUCCAAACAGCGCGUGAGCAAUCAUUGAGGGUCUACUACUUAUGCCCUGCUAAAAUGAUGAUGCUCCGAGCGCCCCCACAUUCUUCUCUCCGACGUUGACACAAUCAUCUCUCCUUCCUACUAUACUACUAUUACUACUCUUUUAACACUUGCUUUACCAUCUCUCCCGCCUUUCCUCAUCCUCCCACUUGCUUCUCCUCCCUUUUGCACCUAACCUCAGCUCACCCUCUCUCCUUUAAUCUUUCAGCACUGGACCCUGGACAGUGGCAUGGGAAGUUGUCGGCUUACACAAUGAACUCUUUGAUAGAUAUAUGGUAGACCUGUAAUUUGGAAGCUUGUCUCUAUGGUCAACAUUAUUAGUACUGCCUAACUUUUAAAUCUGUCAACAACUCUCUCUCUCUUUUCACACCCAGCUCAAUCCACUUAGGAAAUAAUCAAGGGGUAUUGUCCCGUUCCUAUCAAGAGUGGGAUAACUUCAAGUUUAAACAUUUUCCUCCCACGUAUUUAAAACCAAAACAUUGCAUCAGCAUCGUUGACCGGCUAAAUACCUUGGUCGCAAUUAUAGAGAAAGCAGAUGCUGUUGAUUUAGGAGGGGAAAAAAAAGGGAGAGACAGGGGGAGAAAGCAGUUGAUGAUAUCAUAGAAAAUUUAAUAACAAGAUCAUUCUGUUGGCAUUCAAAUCAUCUGCAAAUUCUUUGGAACUUCACCUUUUGUCGAGCUUGUGAUUGGAACGUUUCUAUUAUUAGAAUUUAGAGGUCAAACUACCGGUUUGUCCUUUUUAAUUUUUGUUGCUCUGUCAAGGACUGAAGGUGUCGCACAUGGUUUAUUAAAAAAGAAGUACACGCUAAAUAAUAUUUUUUUGUUCAAAUUGUUUUCUUUGGCUGACAUAAAUACGUUAUCAUUUCUGUUAGAUAAAGUUAAAAAUAUUUGGCGUUAUAUUUUAUCAAACAGAUUAAUCGAAAGAAAUUAUUGAACGGACAACUCAUCUUAGUUGCUGUCAAACCGUGCCAAGUAUUAUUAUUAUAUUUACCCGUUCGCGGUCUUCGCGGUCAAUGCUCUGCAUAUUUGUCCUGUCCUACAGCAGGCAUGAAAGUGUUCCACCAAACCGUGUACUUACAUUGAUCAUUAUUAUGGCGUGCAAAAUGUUGUUUCUAUGCCAUAAUGUCUUCUUUUAAAAAAAUAAAAAAAUAAAUCCUUUUGAAGAAAGAUCACCUUUUUUCUGGUCUUUUAUUUUUUGGUUGAAACGAAACAAUCGAACCUACUCUUUGACACUGGGAUGGUAAUGGAUGAGUUUUUUUUUAAGCACUCGCCCCGCCUAAUUCCUAAUGAAACAGGUUUAAUUUUAAUAAAUGGAUUUUAGAUAAAUUUAAUAAAUUCUUUUAAAACCUGACGUGGGUUUGGAUAGUGAUCAUCCCGUCCUCUCCUUCACCGAUUAUAUAUAAAAUUAAUUUAAUUUAAUUUUUAUUUUAUUAUUUUUAAUAUAUAAAUAAUAAUAAAAUAUUUUUAAUAAAAUAAAUUUAAAAAUAAUAAUAUUUUAAUUAUUUUUAAAAUAUAUUUAUUUUAAUAUAAUUAAAAUUUUAAAAAUAAUUUUAAAAAAAUUAAAAUUCAAAAAAAAGUUAAAUGGGAACAAGACGAACAUGAAAAUUUAUCAUAUCUAUCUCGUUUCGUUUAAUUUUUUAAAUGGGACGAUAAUAAUUAUUAUUUUGAAUAAAUGGGAUCCUUAUUUGACAUUGGAUCAUAGUGCACAUUGUGCUGGUCUAUCUUGUGCAUUAUAUUUCUCUCUUGAAUUGAUUUUAAUAUUUUGUCAAGUUUUUUUUUUUUAAGUUAUUUGAUUAAAAAUAUGAAAUAAUCUCAAAUUUACAGGUUUAACCUUCCAUAUAUUUCAACUUAAAAAUAAUUACUUUUUAUAAAAUUAUUGAUGUUUUAUUUAAAAAAAAUUAUAUAUAUUUUUUAAAAUUAUAUGAAAAUAAUUUUAACGUUAAAUUUUUUCAAAUUUAAUGUGAAAAAAGUUAUUUUUAUAAAUCUGCAAUUAUUUUAUCUUUUAAUAUCAUAACCCUUUUAUUUUCUGCUUUCUAAUGGUAUGCGGGAUACUUCUUAUACAUUGGAAAAGAAACGUAAUACUAGCAAAAUAGAAGAAAAGUUAGUUAUCCUUCAAUGAGGGCAGCCGUAAGCUGUAUUAGCUGAGUUUUGGGCCAAAAUAGCCCAUUUAUAGAAAUCUCAAUUGACCAUAUUAUCAAAAAGAAAAAAAAAGAAAAAAAUCAAAGUUUAAGUUAAAAUCACCAUUAUUUUUUUAUUGAAAUCUCAAUUUUUUAACUGAUGCUUGAGUUUUUUAAAUGGAGUCUAACCCACAGUUACAGUCGUAGAAUCCAGAGGGUUUGUCUCAUUAAAGAUCUUCGUCUUGACUUUUCUGUCAGUUAUCUUGCAAAUCCAAGUCUAAUCAAAUGGGUUGUAAAGGGGUCCCCCACACCCUACACUAAAGUACGCGGUUGGCGCGCAAUAUAUUUCCCUUUCAUACGUCUUGUCGUCAACCUCUCCUGUAGCCCCUUGGCACGCUGAACCAAGGAAUAUUAGCCCUAUGCCUGCAAUCAUUGGUAGGACACCCGCACGAGUGCCUCUCCCUUCCCUCCUCCUUCCCCUCUCUGCUUUCCUUUCCUUAUCUUUGAAUUUUGGAUCAAAAUGUCCCAUUUAUUAAAAAAAAUAUAUAUAUAGGAUAUAAACACUUUGUAAAACUUAUCUUCAAAUUGAACGCUAUGCACCAUAUCAUAAUUUUUUUUUCAUUUUUUUUUUAUCAUUUUAGUUAAAACCUCAAUUGACAACUGAGGUUUUAUUUUUUAACUGAAACCACAAUUAUCAAUUGAGGUUUCAAUUUUUGAAUUAAAAUUAGAGUUAUCAACUGAGACUUUAUUUUUUAACUAAAAUCCUCAAUUGAUAACUGAGUCUUCAUUUUUAAACUGAAGUCACAGUUAUUAAUUAAAACUUUAUUUUUUAAACUAAAACCGUAAUUAUCAAUUAAGACUUUAUUUUUAAAUUGAAGUCUCAAUUGGUAAUUGCGAUUUCAUUUUUGAACUAAAGUCGUAAUUUAUUGAAUUGAUAAUUGCGACUUUAAUUCAAAAAUAAAGUCGUAGUUACCAAUUAAACUGAAGCAUCAAUUGAUAAUUACGACUUCAGUUCAAAAAAUGAAACAUCAGUUGCCAAUUGCGGUUUCAAUUCAAAAAAUGAAGUAUCGAUUGACAAUUACGAUUUCAGUUCAAAAAAUGAAGUUUCAGUUACCAAUUGAGGUUUCAAUUAAAAAAUAAAGUUUUAGUUAUUAAUCGAGACUUUAACUAAAAUGAUGAAAAAUAAUAUCUUUUUAUGAUAUGACACCUAUGUGACAUCAAAAAGACCAAUUUGAAUAUAAGUUUCCUUAAGUUAUAUUGUUUUUUUAAUAAAUGAACCAUUUUGACUCAAAACUCCUUUUCUUUUCUAGUUUAUACUUUAAUCUAACUCAGCACUGCCUAUUGGGCCACCUGUCCCUGCUUUAACCUCUUCCUUCUUAAUAAUUAAAGCAGUCAAUCUGUCAACUUCUUAACGGUUUAUAUGUUCUUCUCCUUUUUAAUAGGGUGUUUUAUUAUACAUAUAUUUUGAGAGAGGUGUAUUAUUUGACACUAUGCAUCUCCUCCUCUUUCCGAAUUUUGUUGACCCAAACAAAAAAUCAACUUCGGGCCGGUGUUGAAGCUAUAUUGUUCAAUUAGCCUUCUUCCUUUUCUCUCUUUUUUUUUUUUGUUAAAAAAUUAAAACUGCAUUCCUUCUUAUUCCACCCGCACACCCAUCACCAUCGACCCAUCGCCCGCGACAUCGCAAUCGGCCACCCCUUUCUCCCUUCCUUCUUUCCCUUUUUGUCUUCUCUCUCUCCAUACCCAUUUUUCCUUUUCUCCAAAUCUUCCUGUUACUGACCGGCGGCCAACGACGUCAUGCCGUCGGUGCAGCUCAUGGAUCGACCUUGCUGACGAUGCCCACGGUUGCCCCCACCGAGACCCUCACCUCCAUCUUCAUUUUUAUUUUUUAUUAAAUAACUUUAAAAAAAAUAAUUAAAAAUAAUAAAAAUGAAGGAUGAGAGAGAAAGAGGCCAUCAAAAAAGGAAAAACCCACAUUUGUUUGGUUAAAGGGGUGAUUUUUAACACAAACUCCCUCUUUCCUUUCUCCCAACAUACAUGUGGAUUUGGUAAAGUUGUGGGAAAGAUAUGUUGCCAGAUGAGUAUUCACGUGAAACCCAAUAAUGCACACACGUGGGUUUGGAUAAUCCCAUAAUAAAUGUCCAAAAAGGCUUUAUAGAUGAUGCUUGAAGUUUGGGUUAAAAAUAUCCUCUUUAACCAAAAGAAAUGUGGAUUUUGACCCUCUUUGCAUCUUUUGUUCAAAAUGGCCUUUCUCUCUCAUACUUCGUCUUUUAUUAUUAUUAUUUUUAAUUAUUUUUUAAAAGUUAUUUAAAAAAAAAUGAAGAUGGAGGUGUGGGUCUUGGUGGGGGCAACCGUGGGCAUCAUGAUGCAAGGUCGAGCCAUGAGCGGCACCGACGGCAUGACGUCGUUGGCCGGCAAUGAGUAGCAGCCGGAGUCGGAGGAAAGUAAAAAUGGGUAUGGUCGGUAGGAUGGAGAGAGAGAAAGAGGAGUUUUGGGUCACCCAUUUAUUAAAAAAAAAAUAUAUAUAUAGGAUGUAAUCAUUUUUUGAAACUUAUUUUCAACUGUACCAUGUUAUUAAAAAUUUUUUUUUUUAUCAUUUUAAUUAAAGUCUUAUUUGACAAUUGAGCUUCAAUUUUGAACUGAAAUCAUAAUUGUUAACUGAUGUUUCAUUUUUGAAUUAAAGUUGUAGUUAUCAAUUAAGAUUUUAGUUAAUUUUUAAAAUUUAAUUAAAAAUUAUUAAAUUAUAAUUUAUUAUUAAAAUUUAAAAAAUAUACUUAAAUAAUAAAUUAUUUAUAUUUAAAUUUAAGAAUCUAGUAUUACUUUAACAAAUAUAAAUUAAUAAAUAAAAGAUAUUUUAAAUAAAUAUUUUAUUUAUUAAUAAAUUAAUAAUCAUAAAAUAAUAAAUUUAUAUAACAUAUAAAUAAUAUAUAAAAUUGUAUUAUUUAUUAAUUUAAAAUAUAUAAUUUAUUUGUUUUAUGAUAAAUUUAUUUUUAUGGAAAUAAUAAUAAACUUUUAAAUUACAGUUGUUAAUUAAGAUUUCAAUUAUAAUUUUUUUUUACUUUCAAAUUUAAUUAAAAACUAUUAAAUUACAAUUUAUUAUUAAAAUUAAAAAUAUAUAUAUUUUAAUAAUAAAUUAUUAAUACUAUAUUCUUAAAUUUAAAUAUAAAUAAUUUAUUAUUAAAGUAUAUAUUUUUAGUUUCAAUAAUAAUUUUAAUAAUAAAUGUAUUAUUAAAUAUAAAUUAUUAAUGCUAGUUUGGACGAUAGUUUCCGAAAUGGCUAAAGUUGAUUUUUUGUUACGGUCAAAAGGGUACUUUGACCCAAAAUUCUGAUGUUUGCCUCAAACCCCCAAGGUUUUGUAGCUCUCUUACCAUUUAGCCCCUGCUCCCCUUCCAAAAUUUCACCUCUCAGCUUUUGGAUUUCAAGAAUCUUGGACGUCCAUACAUUUCAUACCUGUCUAUAAAAUGAUCUUCUUCUUUUUUGGCAAAAUUUUAAUUCCUGCUAUCACAUAUUAUCAUGACUGAGGGAAUCAGGUACGCUGUCAUAUACAAACUAGUCAAGUCAAAAUUUUUGUACAGAAAACUCCCAAAUUCAAAUCUUUACGUCCAAAAAAAAUCAUCGCCGCUAACGUUUAAUAUUAAAUUUAUCUAUUUUUAAAUAAACUCUGCAACAGUACAGCUUUAAAAGCAAAUUUUAAAAUGGUGGUGCAGCUUUGAAGCCAAUAUGGAUAAAGGGGUGAUUAGACAAGUCGAAACAGAGGAUAUUUCGUGUCCAAAGCAAACUCCUCAGUCCUCAGUCCUCACUCACAAAUCACAACAUCCCACAAUUUGCCAUGUCAUGGCAUGGAGGGAUAGCUUCAUUAUUUUACUAAAUAAAUAUAACUACCCUUUUCGAAAACCCAUUCCCCCCACCACCAUAAUUCAACGAUUGGAAGUUUGGAUCCUAAUAAUGGCACCUCCCGACUCGGACGGCCUGAGACGGACCCAGACUCCCUCCCAUAACGGCUCUGUACUUACAUUUUGUUUACUUUCUCUCAAGCUAUACCUUUCAUGUGCCCAUGGGGGUGCAUGGUUAUCUAUCUAUCCUAUGUUCUCGUGGGUCAUUUUAUAGAUUUUUUUCAUUUUUUCUAACACGUUUGAUAAAAGAAAUUUCUGAACCUUUACAAAAAUGUUUUUGUAAUAGUUCUUAACAUAACUCAUGAACAAGAUUCAAAGUUGAAUUGAAGUAUUUUGUUUCAUAAUUAUGCCAACUUAUUCAAAGUAUUUAUUAAACAUGUUACUUCAUUAGUAGACCUUUGGCUCAUUUGAAUUCAUUUAUGCGGGUUUUAAUUAAUGUAUUUAUCUUAUUUUGUUUAUACGAUUAUAAUUUAAGAAAAAAAAUAAAAAAUAAAUUUAAAUUUAAUAAAUUACUUUUAUAUGUUUUUUUAACUCAUUUUAUUUAUAUCUUUUUAUAAUAAUAAAAUUAAAUAAUUUAAAAAUAUACCAAUCUCAAAUUAAUUUUAAUCAUAUAUAUAUUUUUAAUGUGAAAUUAAAUAUAAAAAAACUAUUUUUAUUUUUGUGGAAAUCAAAUAUCGCCUUAAAUUUUUAUGAAUUAUUUGCGUUACAACGAUAUGAAUCCAAUUGCCACUACUUAGUAAACCUAUUGACCAUACAAAAUGAUAUUUUGAAAAUAUAUUUGAAUUCAUAGGUACGUGACAGGUUGGAAAAAGAAAAAAAGGACAAGAGGAAGGAUGCAAUCAGGCCGAUUUUGUAAUGGAUGUAUUUUUCUUCAUGUUCUCACGCCAUUUUUGCGUAUAUGGAUGUUUUUUCAAACGAGAUAAGACUGCUCAUAGUAACAGCUCAAGCUAGCAUGUGUCGAUACUGCAGAUGAUUUGCAAUCAUCAAAGACAAAUAAUCGGUCAAAUGGAUGAUUACAAAUCGAUUUGAAUGCACGUCCAUCUUGACAAGUGACAAUACAUUUUUAACGAAUUGUGUCACGUAAUCUUUUAAGUUUUCAACCAAGAAGCGAUGUCUCUUUGUCACCACCUGCCAUUAAUCAAAGAUUUUGAGCAUAAAAUCUACCCUCAGACCAUAAUUUUCUUCCUUGACUGACUACUAUUCAUGUAUGAUGAUUGAGUGCGUGAACACUGAUGCCAUUAUCAAUCAAUACUUCAAUAGUGUGUUGCAUUAUGGCCGUUGCUGCCUGAUUUUUAAUGAAUAUAUAUAUAUAUAUAUAUAUAUUUUUUUUUUUUUUUGGGAUAAUUGGGAAGAAAACAAGUGUGGUUGUUGACCAAUGCCCGAGACAACGAAGAUGCAAUGCACUUCUGAAACAUUAUUGGCAGUUUGUGAUGUCUCUGGACUCUCUACCUGGCGAAUUUUUCUGGUUUUUAUUUAAAUAUGUGAAGCAAUGGGCAGAGAUCUUUUAGGGCUGGGAUCUAAUUUCCUUACUGAAAAUGAGGAAUGGUAAACAAAUGGUGGUUUAAGAAGAGUGAUGGUGGAAAUGGAAAGUGGGGGUGGGGGGUUUCCUUGUAGGGAAAAAGCAUUGUGAAUCAUCCAUUCUAAAUAAGCCUUCAUGGAUGGUCCAUUUUUCGUUCAUUUCUUUUUGGCCCAUAGUUAAUUGUUCAUUGCAUAACACUUGUGGCCACCGACAUCACAAUAAUGCUGGGGUUGAUUAUAAGUGGGUCGGCCAUUGAAUUUAGGGCAUUUACAUUGCUGAAUUACGCAUGCAUUAGUUUGAGAAGGUACCCAGAAACGAGGGACUCCGUAUGGGCUCUGUAUGAUGUGUUUUGGGAGCAGAGGAGGAGGCAAAGGAUAUGGCUCUACACGGAGGAUGAUUUGUGCCUUCGAACCACUUCCCUGUUUUGCGGAGAUCUUGGGCGUUUAAUUUUGACAAUCCAUUUGGUACAUGAAAAUCCAAUUAUGGUUUGUCGACAUCGUGUGGGGAAGAAAAACAUAAAAAUAAAAACAGAGAAGAAGCAUGCAAUCGACUCUGAUUUUGUAAUCUGCUACUUAAAAUAUCAGAGUUGACCAUUUACUCUUUUCUUUUUCUAGAAAAAAUGCAUGGAAUUUGGUAUUGGAGCCUGUAGGGGGAGAGCCCCUCUCCAUUCUGAUUUUCGGGGGCAAAAGCAAUGCCUUUGACCUUUGGUCUAAACAAUUGGGUUAUUUGGAAUAGGUAUUUUCUCUGCAAAUAAGACCAAGCUUUCAAAAUUAAAAAUACAUAUGUUUUUUUUGUGGGUAAUGAAUCGUAUUACAUUUCCCACAAAACGACAGAAAAAAAACACUAUAAAAGAAGGAUAUUGACUUGAUAGCUUUCAUUAAGUUUUGGUACCUUGGGUUGCUUAAGCGACGUUUAAAGGUGCAGAAAAUGAACCCUCCUUUCUUUUCAAGAGAUGGGGAGAACCAGGGAAAGGUAGAUGUUUGAUUUCGUUUUUGCUUACACCAAGUAACCGGUGUCAGAGGAAGAGAGAAUUUUGUAUGUCAGAGGGUGAGUGGCUGAGUCGCUGAGUGAGAGAGAGAGUCUCUAUCAUGUCUGACUUGGAGUUUUUUCUCCUCCUCCUUGCGUCAAUCUCAGUUCCCCUUGUGAUUCUCAAUCUGAUCAAAAGAAAGCAAAGCGGACUUAAUCUACCUCCGGGAAACACGGGUUGGCCUUUUCUGGGUGAAACCAUCGGCUAUUUAAAGCCGUACUCGGCCACUUCAAUAGGAGACUUCAUGGAGCAACACAUAUCAAGGUAAACCGUCGAAACCAAAUUGAACCCAAGAUUCUUGUACCUUCUUCCUUUUCCCUUUCCUGAUCGGGGUUCAGUUAAAUCUGCAGGUUCGGAGAAAUCUACAAGUCCAAUCUGUUUGGCGAGCCAACCAUAGUCUCAGCGGAUUCUGGGCUGAACAGAUUCAUACUACAGAACGAAGGAAAAUUGUUUGAAUGCAGCUAUCCCAGAAGCAUAGGUGGAAUUCUUGGGAAAUGGUCCAUGCUGGUUUUAGUUGGAGACAUGCAUAGAGACAUGAGAACCAUCUCCCUCAACUUCUUGAGCCAUGGCAGGCUUAGGACUCAUCUCCUACCAGAGGUGGUGAAGCACACUUUGCUUGUUCUAAGCUCUUGGAAGGAGAAUUGUACAUUUUCUGCUCAAGAUGAAGCUAAGAAGGUAAGACUUUUUUUAUCCUUUCUCCAAAUUUACAUUCUCAGAAACAAUUUAAACGUUUAUAGUUGGAUAUGAAUAGUUUUUUAAGGAAUGCUUAGCUGAUUGAGGACCAAUUUCACAGUUUACCUUCAAUCUGAUGGCAAAACAUAUCAUGAGCUUGGAUCCCGGAAAGCCGGAGACUGAGCAGCUUAAGAAAGAGUAUGUUACUUUCAUGAAAGGAGUGGUAUCUGCUCCUUUGAAUUUCCCUGGAACUGCAUACAGAAAAGCCCUACAGGUAAGGGAUGAAGUAGAGCUAAAAAGGAAAUAGUCGGUAAAGUGAAUAACUUAAAUUUACAUGAAAAUUAUGAAAUAUGAAGAAACUCCAAACAACCCAUUUGACAAAUCUUCUGGUUUUGUGUUUCUGCUCAACAGUCUCGGUCCACCAUCUUAAAAUUUAUCGAGCUGAAGAUGGAAGAGAGGAUUCAGAAACUGAGGGGAGGAGGGUUUGAGAAUAUGGAGGAUGACGAUCUUCUUGGAUGGGUGCUGAAGCAUUCCAACCUUUCAACUGAGCAAAUCCUGGACUUGGUACUGAGCUUGCUCUUUGCUGGCCAUGAAACUUCAUCAGUAGCAAUAGCUUUAGCUAUCUACUUCUUGGAAGGCUGUCCCAACGCCGUUCAACAGCUAAGAGUAAGCAUCAUACAACCAUCUCUCCACUCUUUUACAUUUAUUCUUUAUUAAUAAUAGACACCCCUUCUCUUAAAUCAUCAUAAUGUUCUCUCCUCUACAUUCAGGAAGAACACCUUGAAAUUUCCAGGGCCAAGAAGCAAUCAGGAGAGUUGGAAUUGAGUUGGGAAGACUACAAAAAAAUGGAAUUCACUCAAUGUGUAAGCUCUCUUCACCAUCUUUUCCAUCAAAAAAAAAAAAAACAAAGGGUUCUGUUUGAGAUUGUUCCAUAUAAAAACAUUCUGUAAUGGCAUGUGAAGGUUAUUAGUGAGACACUGAGGCUUGGAAAUGUGGUUAGGUUUCUACACAGAAAGGCCCUGAAAGAUGUCCGGUACAAAGGUAGGAAAUUGAAUUGAAAUGUGUAAUUUUCUCGCCGGAAUCUGCAGACACACUGUUUUGAGUUAUUAAAAUUGUAAUUAAUUUGCGUGCUUUUUUUUCUUCAAAAUUUGAUAAAGGGUAUGACAUUCCAUGUGGGUGGAAAGUGCUUCCGGUGAUUGCAGCAGUGCACUUGGAUCCUUCCCUUUUCGACCAACCUCAACACUUCAAUCCUUGGAGAUGGCAGGUCAGUUCUUUCCUUGGUUCAAAACUUCAACUUCAACAACAUACACCUUUAUUGUUACCAUCGUUUUUCCUCUUUCCUUCAUUUUCUUUGAAAAUUUUUGGAUUUAACAUAUUUCCUACUAAGUCAUAUCAUCAAAAGGAGGAUAAACAAAGUCAUGAUCUAUGGUAUGAAGCACGGCCUUUAGCAUGUAAUUGCCUUAUAAAAAUUGAAUUAUAAUUAAAUUAAAUUAUGCUAAAAUUCAAUUCUAUAUCAAAAAAAUCAUUAUACUUCCAAAAAAAGAAUACCAAAAUGCGUUGUCAAAAUUAAUUUUUUUUAUGUCUUCACAUAUUGUGAACUCAAAGAAAGGUGAGUACGUACACUAUUACAAUUUCUUUUCUUUUUCCUUUUAAAAAAAAAUUCAUAAUGCAUUAUCUAGGUUUUUAAAUAAUUAAAAAAAUAAAAUAAAAUAAAAUGGAUUAAUGGUUAUAAUGAUUGGACGGUGCAUACAGGUGUUUAGAUGGGUCUAAAGGUAUGCUCCUCCUCUUCUUUCUCAUGAUGACACUCGUGGGUGAGGAGGUUAAAGCUAUUUAUCAACCAUGGUCCAAACCCAAAUGUUUUUUUUUUUUCGUUAAUUUUUAUCUGAAUUUACUUGGGUUAUUACUUAGAUCAUGUAUCUUUUUUAUGCCGACAAGUUUUUAUUUCCGAUGUUGAAGUGAUAGGAUUUAAAUUCCGUAACAUAUGGAUAGGAUAUGGCUAAAAAUCGACCUCAGCAAACAAAUUCCAAGCAAAAUUAUAAAAGAAAGAAUUUAAUAUGAUGUAAAAUUACAAGCCGAGCAAGAGAAAACAGAGGAGAAAGAGUAGGAAAAAGGGAAUGAUAGGUGUAGGCAAAAUGCGAGCAAAAAUUGAAUUUUUGCAAUAUGCUGAACUGUCAUUAUCAAGGAUGCUAUGGUACGGAGGUGGGAACCGAGAGAUGUGAUCAACGCACAGCUUUUCCUCUCAGGGGCGUGUGGGGAGAGGGUGGGGUUUUGAGAUGAUUAAAGCCCCAUGUGGCUGUGGGGUUCUCACGUGCACGUGCAUGAGUGCUUUCUCUGCCUGCCCCUGUCACUAACUGGUCCAACAUAAAUUCCAUAACUGAACACACUCUAUUAUAUGCUCUCAGCCACCAUCCAAAUAAUGCUUCGCACAUAAUUAAUCUUAUGAUCAUGUUCUUCUCUCUCUCUCUCUCUCUCUCUCUCUCUCUCUCUCUCCAACCGUAAAUGCAUUAUACUUGUGGUUUACUCUAUAAAACAUUCCUUGGAAAUAUAAUAGUGUGAGUUGAAAAUAAUUUUGAAAAAGCAUUAGUUUGAUUAUUAUGUUAGUUGAAAAUACUUCUAAUAAAACAUUCCGUUUGAUAUAUUUUUUUUAAAAAGAAACAUUAUUAUGUUAGUUGAAAAACCCUUUUUCCAUGGCCCCUUUUGCCCAAGAAAAACGUUCAUGUAAAGGGAUUUUAGCGUGUGACGCAUGUGUUGGGGCAAUCAAAGGGGCGCAUGAGAAAAGGAUAGGGGAGUAUUGAUAUACAUGUAUAUGUGCUAAAAAGCCUCUCUGGAACCUCAAUGAUAUAUUUUUUUUUCUUUUGGGGGUGUGUGGUAGCAGAAUAAUGGUAACCGAGGAAAUUCGACUAGCUGGAGCACAGCCACGAAUCAAAACUUCAUGCCAUUUGGGGGAGGACCACGGCUAUGUGCGGGCUCUGAAUUGGCCAAACUGGAAAUGGCGGUGUUCAUCCACCAUUUGGUUCUCAACUACAACUGGGAGUUGGUUGAUAAGGAUCAGGCUUUUGCCUUCCCAUUCGUCGAUUUUCCGAAGGGCCUACCCAUCAAGGUCCGACACCACAAUUUCACGUGAAAACGGCCUCGUUCGUCACUCUCCGCAGGCCUCAGCUCACAUGUUGGAUAUACAAACAGAAGAAAUCCUCAUUUCUCCCUCCACGUCAGCCUGUUGCUCUUGGAUUUUCCAACGGCCUAGUCUUUUUAUUUUUAGUUGUUCACAUGAACAAAGGGAAGACAUAAAAGAAGUGAAGUACAGUUAUGUUAGGACCACAACCCCCGAACCCCAACCCCAACCCCUCUUUGUAAAUUUUAAUUUUUCCCUGAGCCUUGCGGGCCUGGGAGUCUAUUCAUUAUAUUUAUAUGUGAUAUGGUCUUUCCUUUGCUUUAAUGUAAUUCUCUUUCCCUGCCUCCCGAGAAUUAUCUCAUUUCUCUCAGCAUUAUCUGAAUAUAUCUCUUGGAUGGGACUCCUUGGAUGUUGGGCCAUUUUCUCCCUUAUUAUCAACCACCAUACCAACGUGGGGUGCCUCUUCAAGGGCUCAUUAAGACCCCCAUUUAUCACUGUUCCACCAUCGCCACAGGAAUAGGGAACCAGGCUUCAUUUGUAACUUUCAGGAAAGUGAUAUUUUCUUGAUCCUGCCGGUGCCCAACGGGAUGGAACCAAGAUGGGGUAUAAAGGCUGUUUUGUCCUUUGGGAGCUAUUCCCGUUCUCUCUUGUUUUCCCGUUCCGCAAAUGUCCAACAGUUUCUGGGUGGUACCGUUUUUUUUGCUCUUCUUUUUAUCAUCUUGGAGGGUCCCGAUCCAAAUAAUUACGUGUGUCCGCAGCACAAGUGGCGCAUCUUUCUCUGUUCAGGGACCCUUUUAUUUCCCCUCUUUUCUCCGGUGGCAGUGGGGCUGUAACCGGUGGAUGGAUUGUUGCAUACCAACCUUAAAAUAAUACAAAGUACAACGUGAUUUAACAACAAAAUAUAAAUGUAGAUAGGGGCAUAGAUUUGGUUGUUGAAGACUGAUCCGUUUGGCUAACCAAAGUAUCCAUCGCUUGACAAUAAUUUUUUUGGACCACAUGGUCAUUUCAACAUGCCAACCCAGUAAAUAUUCCAAACGGAAAAGAUAACGAGUUGAUAUUUUGAGGCGCAUUGAGUACAUAUCAAGAGAGUGGCUCGACAAGCCAUUUGCAUGUGCCAAGCAUCUAGUCAGGAGGGAUAUCCAUAUGGAGGAGGCUGUGGUGGAAAUAUCCUGCUCCACAAGUUGCGUUAGGUACACAAUUUGAAAGGGAGAAGGGGGUAUGAUUUUGAGUCUUUGAGACAUCUUUGGUAAUAAUAAUAAGUACACAAAUUCCAUCCGCAAUGCUUAGCAUAUUUUUGCCUGUGUAUUGGUUUUAAGUAGUUUUCAUUGACAGUGCAUUAUUGGAAUAAUUGAGGGAAGUCCCACGUACAAAAAGCAUCCAAUUCCUAGAUUUGACCGGUCCUUGGUCCCUAAGUUUGUAGAAAACAGUCUAUUCCCCUUUCAUAACUCCGCAUGCAAUCCUAUUGGCUAUCGGUGUUGACGAAUCCCUAUUGCAUUUUGAAGGUACAGAAUGCAAGCCCAUCCGAGUUGGGGGGGGGGGGGGGGGGGGGGGGGGGGGGGGGGGGGGGGGGGAAAAAAAAAAAAGGGGGGGGCCCGGGGGAACCUUGGGGUUUUUAAACCGGGGGGAAACGGGGGGCCCCCCGGGGGGUUUUAAAAACCUUUUUUUUUUUCGGGGGAAAAAAAAAACCCCCCCCCUGGGUGGGGGAAAACCCCCGGGGGGGGGGAAAAAAAUUUUUUUUUUUUUAGGGGGCAAAAAGGGGAAAAAAGGGGGGGUGGGGGGUUUUCUCCCCCAAAAAAAAAAAAAAGCCCCCCGGGGGGAAGGGGGGGGGAAAAAAAAAGGGGGGGGGGAAUUUUUCCCGGGGGGGGGGGUUUUUAAAAAAAAAAAAANNNNNNNNNNNNNNNNNNNNNNNNNNNNNNNNNNNNNNNNNNNNNNNNNNNNNNNNNNNNNNNNNNNNNNNNNNNNNNNNNNNNNNNNNNNNNNNNNNNNGGGGGGGGGGGGGGCAGUGGAUGAGGCAUUAAAAUCAACAUGGGAUACCUCGGGUACAUCUUGUCAUUUAGUACCAUGGGAUACCUGUAGCCUCCUCAUGGCAUUUACUAUCACUUCAAUUUCUCUAAGGCAAAAGAAACUCAAUCCACUUGAUCUUGUUAAAUCACUCUGGGUGAGUUACAAACUAUUUUUCUUUGUAAUGGAGCAUAGAGAGAGAUAGAGAGAUGUUUGGAGUCUUUCUUCUCAAAAUUCAAAUGAAGUCUCUACUGGUAAGCUAGGUGUGAAAAAUCAUGAAGUGGGUGAAAUUUGCUACGUGUGUGGAGUAUUUAAUAGAAGAUAACAAAGGCCAACAACCAGAAUUGAAUGCAAUAAGAAAGGUACCGGAAAAAUUUUGAAGGAGAGUAGUGAUGGUCAGGUGGAGGGGGAGGGAGAGGCGGGAGAGGGGAGGGGGGCUUACUCUUUCUUAUUGAUCUGACCAGAGCCCCCUUGUUAGGUUUGCUUUCGCUUUCCAAUGUCGUUUGUUAUGUUCCCUUCUCAAUGAUUCAUGGGUUUCCGUUAAAAUACAUGACUCACUCUGUGGCCUGGGAAGCUGCACGUUUGAGGAUUUUAAAUUCGGGGGACAUGAAAAUACUGUUGAGAGCUACUCUACGAAGAGGGACUCCUCUCCCACUUCCCCAUCAUUUUCCUUGUUUCUGUUUUUGCCAUGGGGAGCUUCCACCCCCUAUCCUCCCCUUUCCUCUUUCCCCCGGCCCAUUCCUUUUGUUUACCAACUGCCGACACAUGCAACUAAAUAAAUCCCUAUUUCCAUAUAAUUCAGUUGUUAAGUCUUUUCGCAAACAAACCAGCUGUGGACCUAUUUUAUAUAUUGAUUAACCCACUCCACUCCUGGGACAAGUCCAUUCAAAUCUUGAAUUACGGCCCAAAAUGAUAAUUUUUUCUAUGAAUUAUUUUGAUUUGCCACUUCCAUAUCCUGUAUUAUCAAGGCUAAGAUAUGAAAUCAUCUUGAUGCGAAAACCAUGCUUUGUGAAUUUGAACUUUCAGACCCCAAUGGCCUGAAGCUCAGGGCUGAAUCAGGCUGAGAAGAAGCCGGUUCGAUAUUUUGCCCGGAGGACUUUUCCCGCAAGUUACAUUGGGCCAGUUCUGUUAAUUAUCUCCAUCCAAAUUGAAGGAGAAGCCCAACCAAAAACUUCGACUAAGGAUAUAUGAGUAAUGGGCCCCUGAGGCUUUGUCUAUGCUUCGACUGUCAAAGGUAAUGGGCCCAUUUCCCCAUGAUUCCAUAUAUACUUACAGGAUAGGAGCUAGUGAUGUGGACUACUUGGUGAGGUCUUGCGGUUGGCGAACCGUACCAUUUUAGGACUUUGAUUUGAGGCGGAUUGGACUUGGAUCCAAAGGGAUUUUUUACAUGAGUACGGUACGAUUUCUUCAAAAUAAAAAUAAAAAUAAAAUUAGGGAUAAAUGGACUCUUCAAAAAGACGAUUUCUUAGAAAUAAAUAAAUAAAAUUAUUAUAGGAAAAAUACUCUCUUGAAGACACACGAUUUCACCUAUAAAAAAAAUAUUUUCAAAAUUUUAUUUUUUCAUUUCCUUAAAAUAUUAAAGGAAUAAAAAUAUUAAAGAUUAAUAUUUUUAAUUUUCAAAACUUAUAUAAUAAAAUUAAUUUAAAAAUUAAAUCAAAACAAAAUUAUUUAUUUUGUAAAUAAUUAUUUAAUAAAUUAAUAAUAAAUUUGUUUUUUAUAAACUCAUUUUUCACAUAAAACUGAUAAUAAUUUUUUUUUAUUCUAAAGAAACAAAAAAUAAUAUAUAAAUAAUAUUAUCUUAUAAAUAAAAAAAUAUAAAACUAAAUUAUUUUUAUUAGUUAUAAUUAAUUGCAUUAAUUUAAAGAUAAAAUUGAAGAUAAAGACCAAUAUAUUUUUUAAAUCAAUAACUAAUUUAAUAUAAAACUUGUGAAUGAUUAUUCAAAUUGAUGUAUAUCUCUUUGUGACUCUCUAUAAAAGAGACGUGCUUUAAUUUUUUUUUUUAUAUUUGGUUUUUGUUUUUUAAGAACGUUUUUAAACAAAGUGAGAAUUUGCUAGUUUUUAAAAAAUAUUUGAAAGCUAAAAAAUUAUUCAAUUAAUAUUAGAAAGUAAUAGAACUAAAAAUUGAUGGAAUUAAUAUUAAAAUAUGAUAAAAUUCAAAAAUCAAUUCAAUUAAUAUUAUAACGUGAUUAAAGAAAAUUAUUCCGGAAUGAUUUUGCUAAUUUUUGCUUUACAUGUAACUUUUUUCCAUUUUUGUUACUAAGCAAAUAAACUAAAAAUUAAGUAAAAUCGGUAACGUCAUAAAUAUAUAUUUUAUAUAUUAUUAAAUUUUAAAAAAUAAUAAAUUUUAUCUAAAUUUUGACACUCUGUUUGUUGAGUUUUUUCACAAAUUUUUUUACUUGUAAAAGUCAUCAAUCAUCAUAUAUUAUAUCUCUAACACAAUAUAAAAUGUUAUACACUCAUAAUGUCAAUCAACCCAAUAUUUAUCAAAUAAUCAAACUAUUUCUAACUCACAUCUAAAUAUGAGCAAUAAACCAACAAUGACCAAAUUAUCAAAGAGUUGUUAACACAUUAUCCAUAAUAGACAAUACAAAUAUCAACCACAACACUUAAAUAGUUACUCAAAAUAUAACAUAACAAUGUUUGAGUAUUUAUGAACAAUUUUUGCAUACUAAUAAAUAUAAAAUUCAUGUCUUCAUUCAUUUUGAAAAUUGGGAUGUUGAGAUUCAAAAUGAGCAUAUGGAAAACCAAAGUUCUCCACAUCAAGCCUUUCUAUAGCCACGCCCCCACCAUUCUCGUCAUCUACAAAAAUAUUGAAUAUAUAUCAACAAGAACUCAUUUUUGAAGAAAAAAAAAAUAAUUAUUGAACUUUUAUAAGUUUAAAUAUUCUACUAACCAAUGUGAGAACUUGAACCUUCCACUUCAUUUAUUAGAAUUGACCCUUCUUCAUAUAAAAGAUUUUUCAAUUCUUCAACAUCUAGCUCUAUUGGCUCAUCCUCAUCAACCAUCCAAAAAUUUGUCUCAUCAAUGCAUGCAUAGUCAAUGGGAUCAUAGGUUUUUUUCUUAUUAUAAAAGCUAAAAAAAGAAAAACAUAUAAUUAUUCAUAAUUGUGAAUGAAAUAAUUUAAAUUCAAAACAACUAAAAAAAACAUUUAUACUGAUCUUUUAACCUCAAUUUAUAAUGAACGUAUACAAGAUCAUUAAGUCUUUGAUGUUUCAAUCUAUUCAUUCUUUUGGUAUGUAUAUGUUCAAAGACACUCCAAUUCCUCUCACAUUAAAAAAAAAAACGAUGCAGUUUGACUCAAUAUUUGAAUGCCCAACUUUUGCAAAUGCGGUGCACUAUAAGCUUCCACCAUUCAUCUAGUUACCAUUUUCACAUUAAAAAUAAGAAAAAAAAAACAUUAGCAAGUUUAAAAUAUUAAAUAGUCAAUAGGUAACUAAUGAAAAAAAACAAAUACACUAAUAAAUUAAAAUUAUCUUUUACCAAGUUGAAGUAUUUCACGUGAAGAAUUCCCAAGGUCUCUUUCAAAACUUCUCAAUCAAUCACGAAACAACUUCAUUUCAUUCAUCGUAUCAAACUUGCCUUUCGGAACUUUCUGAUCAAUAACAUCUAUGACACCUCCAAUAUCAGUUGGCUUAUUACAAUAGUUUUCCUUAUCAUAUUGAAAACAUGGAUUCAACCAAUACGUUGUUGAAUGAAUGUUUUUCUUUAGUUAUUGAUCUCAAUAUUGCUUUAUGAUCUCUGUAUAAGGCUUGUAUAGUCUUCUUUUGUUAUGGUUAAAUAAUUUAUUGAUGCCUUCAUACAUAUAUCCCAUCAAAGGUCUCUUAUCACAAUAAAAAAUACGCAAUAAGCACAUUAGUGGAGACAUGAAAUUCACAACUAUUAAACAAUAAUUCCAAAAUCUAUUAACCAAGAUAAUGGAAACUGCAACUCUGCUUUUAUUACCCCUUGAAUAUCUAGAGUCCGCAAAGAACUUGCUAGUCACAAAAACUUGCAAGUCAUAUUUAUGAUCAUGAAGACUCUUAAGUGCAAUGAAUGUAAUAAUAAAGCGAGUUGCACUAGGUCGAAGAUUCUCUAUUCAUCCUUCUUUUUUUCUUAACCAACUUAACAAAGUAACAUAAUUAUACACAAAAAUUGUCACCUUUGAUGCAUGUCUUACAAGUUCAGCAACAUGGUCCAUCUUACUAAUAUCCUCAAAGGUUAAAUUAAGACAAUGAGCUACACAAAGUGACCAAUUGAUGUGUUUAUGCUUCUGAGAAAUCGAUCUCCAAAUGGCCACAAAAUUUGUUGCAUUAUCAAUUACUACAUGAACUACAUUGAGUGGACCCACCCAUUCAAUCACCUCAUCAAAUAACUAAAACAAAUUAGUUGCAUUCUUGACAAUAUCUGAAGCAUCAACAUAUUUCACAAACAAUAUUCCUUCAUGACAAUAAACAAGGAAUUUGAUGAGUGUUCUUUGUUUAUUAUCUAUCCAACUAUCACUCAUUAUUGUACACCCCAACUUUUGCAUAAAUUGCAUGAUAAGAGUCCACAAGUAACUGAAUUUCCUUCUUGGCAUCCUUUAAAAGAUUAACCCACAAUUGAUGGUAAUUUGGACCCUUAUAUCCAGAACCAAUUAUAGAUAUAACAUCCAACAUUGACUUGAAGUAGAAGGAAUUCACAACAUUAGUAGGAAUGCAUGCAUCGUAAAAGAAUCUCCCAACAACCAUAUUUGCCCUCCAAACAACUUAUUUCCCAACUAAUACACUCCUCAUCGAAGGUUGAGCUUCUUAAGUAUUUUUUGGUGCAAAAUACUUAUCCACUAUUGACUUUUUUCUUUUUUCCACUACUAGCUACCAUAGGAUUUUGUAUUUCUUGAACCUUUUUUUCACCUUCUGUCAUAUCCCUUUCGAAUUGUGACACAUUAAGACCAUAAGGAUUUCUAUAUUCAUAUGCUUCUUGGGUCGCUUUCUUGGAAUUCACAAACUUUUGCAAAUAAUUUUUUGUUCGAAACCUAACAUUAGGAAAAACUGAUUUACAAAGACCAAUAUUCUCUUUCACUUCAGUAAGGUGUUGCUUCAUUUUAUGAAUACCCCCACUUUUUGCAACUUUUUUACAAUACAAUCGAAUGAGAGUUUUCUUUCCAUUUGUAUAUCUUUCUUUAGAAACAUGCUCUCAUGCAAGUCAGUAUGAAUUGACAGUUGAAUCUUGAUCAAAGGAUGGGGUCAAGAUUGAUUACAUUUUUUAUUUAUCUAUCAAAUUAUAAACAAAAAUCACAAUUUUAAUUAUAAAAUUAAAUAAUCAAGUCAUCAACAAUUUAAUUUUUUAAAAAAUAAAAAAAUUCAAGUCAUCAACAAUUUAUAAAAACCUCACAUUAAUUUAGAGAAUCAAGUCAUCAUUCAUCAACAACUUAAAAAAUCAAAGGAUUAAAAAAAAAAUUGAAAUUUAUUACCAAAUUUUUUUUCAAAAUGAGAAAUUUACUUUCAAAUAAAAUAUUUAUUGAAAAUUUAAAAAUCAGAAUUUUGUUUGAAAAUCAACAAAUUAUUUUAAUUCCUAAUGUUUUAUUUUUUCAAUGAUUUCAUUAAUUUAUUUAAACUCAAAUAAAAAAAAUUUAAAUCAAUAUAAAAUUUUAAAAAAAUGAAAAUAAAGUGUAUAUAUAUAUAUCUAAAGUCUAAACUAAAUAAAAUAUGUAAAUGAUUCAACUUUCCAUUGUAAUAAAUAAAUCAACAAAAAUUUCAAUAAUUUCAAAAAAUUAAAAUUUCAAUUUGCAAUAAAUAAACAAAUGAAAAAAUUAUAAAAAUUAAAUAUUAAACAUAACAUUAAAAUUAUAAUCAACAAAACAUUAAGACAUUAAAUAUAAAAUAUAACAAUUAUUAUUAUUUUUUUAAAAAUGGAAGUUUAAGAUUUCACUUGCUUCUCAACGGCAGGAAGGUGUGUCGGCGACGAGAAAGUGGGGGUCCGUCUACAAUAGGCGGGCUGACGGCAAGCAGGGACGACAAGUGUCGACAACUGUUGCUCAAGCUAGGACGAUCGCAAAGGGUGAAGAAAAUAUGGUUUUAUAGUCAUCAAAACGACGUCGCUUUGAUGCUGUAAAAAAUAAAUAAAUAAAUAAAAUUGUUUGAAUCGUCCGGUUCACUUGUCAGACAGUCGAUUCACCUAAUCCAAUUCCGGUUCAUCGAACCAAAUCGAAACUGUGACCGUCCGGUCCGAUUUUUAAAACCAUGAAAAGAUCAAUAAAGGACACAAGAUCAUGCAUCAAGGGAAGAGUUUCAAAUUUGAAAAAUAUUUUCAGGUCUUUAUGCAUGUAAGGUUGACAUGUACUAAGUAAGGAUUGCAUUAGCAUGUUCAAAGUCAUCAAACCUUUUCACUUUUGAUGAAAUUCUCAUUCAAUUUAUUUGUCAACUAUCACAAGCUUUUUAAAAAAAUUGAUGAAGUGAAAACCGUCUUUCAAUUGAUGUCAUUAAAACUUAAAAGGUUUUCCAAGAUUGUUAGAAGUAUAAUCUAGCCAAUUCCUCAACUUUUUAAUGCUUAAAAAUUACAAAAUUGUAAAAAUGGAAAAUCAAAAGAGCUACUAGUCAACCACUUGAUUAACCGAUUAAGUAGGUUUGAAGAUGAGACUAACGAAUGGAUACUAAUCUCAUAAUCAAUGGAGUUCUUAACUUUUCAACUAUCACCGAUAGCCCUUAAUGGAUAGUUGUUGAUCUAUACCUAGUCAAUUAGUUACAUUGAAAUUGUGUCUAAUAGCUAAUUUCAAUUUCAAACUCUUAUUUAAAGUUCUUGGACUUUAUUUAUGAGGUUAGUAAAAAUCAUUCAUGCUUUACAUUAAAGAGUUUUCAUUGUUUUCUUUGAGUACACCUACCCCUAAACUUGAAAAUUAGUGCAUGUUUGAUCAUAAUUUUCCAUUUGUAGUUGAACUUCAUUGUAAACUAGAAAUUUUAAAAAAUGAAGUAAAUCAAGUUAAUCACCUAUUGUAUCUUUUGUGAUGAUUUGUUUUAAGUGUGAUGUAUUACUUCAUUGUAAGUCCUAUCCAAUAUGCAUCACAUACACUAGUACACUCAUAAUGGAAAAUUUAUCCUGAUAGUUAAAGACAAGUCAUCUCUCUAAUUAAAAAUUAGUGCACUACAAUUUCUAUUGGAUUGCCCAAAUCCAUGAACUGAUUGUAAACAACUUAUCUAUUUACAAAAAACUCAUGACUUGUAUCAUUUGUGUAAAUUCUAAUGCACCAAAGUCAUGUACAAUAUAAGAAAGAUAGGUUGAAUGUUUAAAUCAAUGUUAAUGCAUAAAAAGGAUAGCAAAGAAAUAGUCAAGUGUGAUUUUGUUACAUUAUAUUUUGCUUUUAAAGGCUCGAUCCCAAUAGGAAAUAUGUACAAGAUGAUUACAACUAAAGUUGGUUUUUUAAGCUAAAAGUAUUUUUUUGCCACUAGAUAAUCAAAGUCAACAUAAGUUGUCUUGUUGCAAGAGCAUCGGAGGGCUACUAUAAUAGAUGAAUAUCUUACUCUUCUAAGAAAUGAAACUUAGUAUCUUGUUCCUUUUCUUGUGAGCAAAAAAAGUGAUUGGGUGUGAGUGGGUGUUCAAGAUUAAUAUAUAUAUAUAUAUAUGACACUAUAAAUAAAUAUAAGGCUAGGUUUGUGGCAAAGAGAUUUCACCAAAAAGUAGGUUUUAACUCUAACGAAACCCUCAACCUAGUGAUAAAGCCAAGUGCAAUCAUAGUAGUGCUAAUUAUAGCUCUUACUAGGAAUAUUAGAUGGUUAGACAUUAGCAAUACAU
rnacentral:lncRNA from 1 species